rnacentral:rRNA from 1 species
CCUACGGGAGGCAGCAGUGGGGAAUAUUGCACAAUGGGGGAAACCCUGAUGCAGCGACGCCGCGUGAGUGAAGAAGUAAUUCGUUAUGUAAAGCUCUAUCAGCAGGGAAGAAAAUGACGGUACCUGAGUAAGAAGCCCCGGCUAACUACGUGCCAGCAGCCGCGGUACUACGUAGGGGGCAUGCGUUAUCCGGAUUUACUGGGUGUAGAGGGAGCGUAGACGGCAGUGCAAGUCUGGAGUGAAAGGCGGGGGCUCAACCCCCGGACUGCUCUGGAAACUGUACGGCUGGAGUGCAGGAGAGGUAAGUGGAAUUCCUAGUGUAGCGGUGAAAUGCGUAGAUAUUAGGAGGAACACCAGUGGCGAAGGCGGCUUACUGGACUGUAACUGACGUUGAGGCUCGAAAGCGUGGGGAGCAAACAGGAUUAGAUACCCUUGUAGUC